rnacentral:rRNA from 1 species
GACGAACGCUGGCGGCGUGCCUAAUACAUGCAAGUCGAGCGAAGUUUUUCUGGUGCUUGCACUAGAAAAACUUAGCGGCGAACGGGUGAGUAACACGUAAAGAACCUGCCUCAUAGACUGGGACAACUAUUGGAAACGAUAGCUAAUACCGGAUAACAGUAUUUCUCGCAUGAGAGAUAUUUAAAAGUUGGUUAUGCUAACACUAUGAGAUGGCUUUGCGGUGCAUUAGCUAGUUGGUGGGGUAAAGGCCCACCAAGGCGACGAUGCAUAGCCGACCUGAGAGGGUGAUCGGCCACACUGGGACUGAGACACGGCCCAGACUCCUACGGGAGGCAGCAGCAGGGAAUCUUCCGCAAUGGGCGAAAGCCUGACGGAGCAACGCCGCGUGAGUGAAGAAGGAUUUCGGUUCGUAAAGCUCUGUUGUUAGGGAAGAAUGGAUAUGUAGUAACUAUACAUGUACGAGACGGUACCUAACCAGAAAGCCACGGCUAACUACGUGCCAGCAGCCGCGGUAAUACGUAGGUGGCAAGCGUUGUCCGGAAUUAUUGGGCGUAAAGCGCGCGCAGGUGGUUUAAUAAGUCUGAUGUGAAAGCCCACGGCUCAACCGUGGAGGGUCAUUGGAAACUGUUAAACUUGAGUGCAGGAGAGAAAAGUGGAAUUCCUAGUGUAGCGGUGAAAUGCGUAGAGAUUAGGAGGAACACCAGUGGCGAAGGCGGCUUUUUGGCCUGUAACUGACACUGAGGCGCGAAAGCGUGGGGAGCAAACAGG